rnacentral:rRNA from 1 species
UACGAAGGGGGCUAGCGUUGUUCGGAAUCACUGGGCGUAAAGCGUACGUAGGCGGACCAUUAAGUCGGGGGUGAAAUCCCAGGGCUCAACCCUGGAACUGCCUUCGAUACUGGUGGUCUGGAGUCCGGGAGAGGUGAGUGGAACUCCUAGUGUAGAGGUGAAAUUCGUAGAUAUUAGGAAGAACACCAGUGGCGAAGGCGGCUCACUGGCCCGGUACUGACGCUGAGGUACGAAAGCGUGGGGAGCAAACAGGA